rnacentral:ncRNA from 1 species
UUUCAUCCGUGAACAAGCGAUCCUUCGUCCCUUGCGGAAGCCUUUGCAGCUGGAGACAGUAAGCCGAGCGACUGAAAACAACAUCGGCCCCAUGCAAGUCGGCGCCCGCGCCGGCGACACUUUCGAACUGACGGGGACACCCUAAAGCCCUCUCCACCAAGCCAGCCGGGGAAACCCGCUGGUGGCCCGUCCUAACGUACGGGGUAUGGUAACAGAGAGGGGGAUGACCCGGCGCCCGCGAGGGCACCGGCGAAAUGGGCGAUCCGCAGCGAAGCUCCUACCCCCCCGCCGCGGGGCACGGAGAACGUCCACAGACUAAGCGGAAGUGGGUGGAGCCUCGCGGCUCUGCUUAAGAUAUAGUCGGGCCCCCUGGGAGACCUGGGGGAAAACGAGCCGUUCCGUAGGUGAACCUUCGGAAGGAUCAUUA